AAAGCUUUUGCGGUUUUGGAUGGACUCGCGGCCUAUCAGCUUGUUGGUGGGGUAAUGGCCUACCAAGGCGACGACGGGUAGCCGGCCUGAGAGGGUGACCGGCCACACUGGGACUGAGACACGGCCCAGACUCCUACGGGAGGCAGCAGUGGGGAAUAUUGCACAAUGGGCGCAAGCCUGAUGCAGCGACGCCGCGUGAGGGAUGAAGGCCUUCGGGUUGUAAACCUCUUUCAGUAGGGAAGAAGCUGGCCCUUGGGUUGGUGACGGUACCUGCAGAAGAAGCGCCGGCUAACUACGUGCCAGCAGCCGCGGUAAUACGUAGGGCGCAAGCGUUAUCCGGAAUUAUUGGGCGUAAAGAGCUCGUAGGCGGUUUGUCGCGUCUGCCGGGAAAGUCCGGGGCUUAACUCCGGAUCUGCGGUGGGUACGGGCAGACUAGAGUGCAGUAGGGGAGACUGGAAUUCCUGGUGUAGCGGUGAAAUGCGCAGAUAUCAGGAGGAACACCGAUGGCGAAGGCAGGUCUCUGGGCUGUAACUGACGCUGAGGAGCGAAAGCAUGGGGAGCGAACAGGAUUAGAUACCCUGGUAGUCCAUGCCGUAAACGUUGGGCACUAGGUGUGGGGGACAUUCCACGUUUUCCGCGCCGUAGCUAACGCAUUAAGUGCCCCGCCUGGGGAGUACGGCCGCAAGGCUAAAACUCAAAGGAAUUGACGGGGGCCCGCACAAGCGGCGGAGCAUGCGGAUUAAUUCGAUGCAACGCGAAGAACCUUACCAAGGCUUGACAUGAACCGGAAUGAUGCAGAGAUGUGUCAGCCACUUGUGGCCGGUUUACAGGUGGUGCAUGGUUGUCGUCAGCUCGUGUCGUGAGAUGUUGGGUUAAGUCCCGCAACGAGCGCAACCCUCGUUCCAUGUUGCCAGCGGGUUAUGCCGGGGACUCAUGGGAGACUGCCGGGGUCAACUCGGAGGAAGGUGGGGACGACGUCAAAUCAUCAUGCCCCUUAUGUCUUGGGCUUCACGCAUGCUACAAUGGCCGGUACAAAGGGUUGCGAUACUGUGAGGUGGAGCUAAUCCCAAAAAGCCGGUCUCAGUUCGGAUUGAGGUCUGCAACUCGACCUCAUGAAGUUGGAGUCGCUAGUAAUCGCAGAUCAGCAACGCUGCGGUGAAUACGUUCCCGGGCCUUGUACACA
rnacentral:rRNA from 1 species